rnacentral:misc_RNA from 1 species
GUAGGAGCUGAGCUUGCUCGCGAUGGCGGCAGGUCAGCUUGCAUCCAUGCUGAAUACCAGACUGCAAUCGCGAGCAAGCUCGGCUCCCAC